GGAGAGGUGCUCAAGGCUCAAGGGGGCUGACUCGAAAUAAGUUAGGUCUGUCACAGCGUGCGUGGGUUUGAAUCCCACCCUCUCCGCCA
rnacentral:tRNA from 1 species